AUUGGGGACAAUUCUUUCCUGACAUUGUCCGUCGUAAAGCUUCUCCUCAACAUUGAUCCCUCGGCCCCUCCUUUGAGUCAGCCAUUCCUUGAUUUCAGAGAUCUUUGUGUUGAUUCUGACUCUGCCACGAGAGGACAUGAGUUUUAUAACCACGAGACAUUCCGUUCGGCUCAUAAUAGAGUGGCCAGGUAGGAAUUUGGCCUCAUUUCUAGCCGACAUGGGUCUAAAGGCAUGCAAAUUGACGAUUUUUAUCAUUUUGUCAUAUUUUUUAGAAAUAAUGGAAAUAUUAUCGAAAUGAAUUCUAUUUUGGAAAAUCCAAUGAAUGGUGGGAGUGAUUAUGGAGCAUUUUCUACUGAUUGGUGUAGUUAUAUAUUCGACGAUUUGGCUAAAAGAAAGGAAACUAAACCAUCUACUGUUGGGGACUUUGAUGAGUCUAAUUAUUGGUUGUUGGUUUUGGUGAAGAAUGUUCGUUGGGAGUGUGAGAGUCGGAUUAGUGAGCUGGAAGGUCUCUCAUGUCCUACUGAGAGUGAAUUGGCAGAGUUGCAGCAAGUCAAGACCAGGUUAGAAGAGGAUGAAAAAUACGACGAGGAGUGUAGGGUUUGGUUGUGGUUGUGAUUUAAGCAAUUUUCUAUUCGAAAACAUCACAAUUAUGUCCCCUUUGUAGGGGAAUUGAUUACUCUCCUUGCGAAGGAUAAUAAAUUGAGUACUGUCGUCAAA